UACGUAGGGUGCAAGCGUUAAUCGGAAUUACUGGGCGUAAAGCGUGCGCAGGCGGUUUUGUAAGUCUGUUGUGAAAUCCCCGGGCUCAACCUGGGAAUGGCAAUGGAGACUGCAAGGCUAGAGUUUGGCAGAGGGGGGUAGAAUUCCACGUGUAGCAGUGAAAUGCGUAGAUAUGUGGAGGAACACCGAUGGCGAAGGCAGCCCCCUGGGUCAAGAUUGACGCUCAUGCACGAAAGCGUGGGGAGCGAAUGGG
rnacentral:rRNA from 1 species